rnacentral:rRNA from 1 species
AUUGAACGCUGGCGGCAGGCUUAACACAUGCAAGUCGAACGAUGACGGUACUGCUUGCAGUACCUAAUUAGUGGCGGACGGGUGAGUAACGCUUAGGAAUCUACCUAAUAAUGGGGGAUAGCCCGGGGAAACUCGGAUUAAUACCGCAUACGUCUUACGAGAGAAAGGGGGCUACUUGUAGCUCUCGUUAUUAGAUGAGCCUAAGUUAGAUUAGCUAGAUGGUGGGGUAAAGGCCUACCAUGGCGACGAUCUAUAGCUGGUCUGAGAGGAUGAUCAGCCACACCGGAACUGAGACACGGUCCGGACUCCUACGGGAGGCAGCAGUGGGGAAUAUUGGACAAUGGGGGCAACCCUGAUCCAGCCAUGCCGCGUGUGUGAAGAAGGCCUUUUGGUUGUAAAGCACUUUAAGUAGCGAAGAAGACCCCAUGGUUAAUACCCAUGGGCGAUGACAUUAACUACAGAAUAAGCACCGGCUAACUCUGUGCCAGCAGCCGCGGUAAUACAGAGGGUGCGAGCGUUAAUCGGAAUUACUGGGCGUAAAGCGAGCGUAGGUGGUCUAAUAAGUCAGAUGUGAAAUCCCCGGGCUCAACCUGGGAACUGCAUCUGAAACUGUUAAACUAGAGUAGGUGAGAGGGGAGUAGAAUUUCAGGUGUAGCGGUGAAAUGCGUAGAUAUCUGAAGGAAUACCGAUGGCGAAGGCAGCUCCCUGGCAUCAUACUGACACUGAGGCUCGAAAGCGUGGGUAGCAAACAGG